AUGGAGAUCCAAGGCCAACAGGCUCUCCCACAAGCCUGUGGGACCGUAGGGACCCUGCAUCUCUACAGCCCAAGUGACAGAAGAGGCCAGCUCUCAAUGUUGCAAGAAAAAAUAGACCAUUUGGAGCGUUUGCUAGCUGAGAAUAAUGAGAUCAUCUCAAACAUUAGAGACUCGGUCAUCAAUUUGAGUGAGUCUGUGGAGGAUGGUCCAAAAAGUUCACAAGGCAAUUUCAGCCAAGGUGCUGGCGCACCUCUUCUGCCAUCAAAACAGUUGUCCCUUGUAGUGGACCCUGAAGACUGUUCGUUCGCUUUGCAAAGUGGAAGUCGGAAUUCAGAUGUGCAGAUGUUGGAUGUUUACAGUCUAAUUCCUUUUGACAAUCCAGAUGGUGGAGUUUGGAAACAAGGAUUUGACAUUAGCUAUUUAUUUAAUGAAUGGGACUCUAAGCCCCUUCAAGUCUUUGUGGUGCCUCAUUCCCAUAAUGACCCAGGUUGGUUGAAGACUUUUGAUGACUACUUUAGAGAGAUGACUCGGUAUAUUUUUAAUAACAUGGUCAUCAAGCUGAAAGAAGACUCACGGAGAAAAUUUAUGUGGUCUGAGAUUUCUUACCUUUCAAAGUGGUGGGAUACUAUAGAUAAGCCGAAGAAGGAUGCUGUUAAAAGUUUGCUACAGAAUGGUCAGUUUGAAAUUGUGACAGGUGGCUGGGUUAUGCCUGAUGAAGCUGCUCCACAUUAUUUUGCCUUAAUUGACCAACUAAUUGAAGGACAUCAGUGGCUGGAAAAAAAUCUAGGAGUGAAACCUCGGUCCGGUUGGUCUAUUGAUCCUUUUGGACAUUCACCAACAAUGGCUUAUCUCCUCAAACGCGCUAGAUUUUCUCACAUGCUUAUUCAGAGAGUUCAUUAUGCAGUUAAAAAACAUUUUGCAUUGCAUAAAACGCUGGAAUUUUUUUGGAGACAGAAUUGGGAUCUGGGAUCUGGCACAGAUAUUUUUUGCCACAUGAUGCCUUUCUACAGCUAUGACAUCCCUCGUACGUGUGGACCUGAUCCUAAAAUAUGCUGCCAGUUUGAUUUUAAACGGCUUCCCGGAGGCAGAUUUGGUUGUCCCUGGGGAGUCCCCCCAGAAACGAUACAUCUUGGAAAUGUCCAAAAGAGGGCUGAGAUGCUUCUAGAUCAGUACCGAAAGAAGUCAAAGCUCUUCCGUACUACAGUUGUCCUGGCCCCACUAGGAGAUGAUUUUCGCUACUGUGAACGCAUAGAAUGGGAUCAUCAGUAUAAGAAUUAUCAGCUGCUUUUUGAUUAUAUGAAUUCUCAUCCUGAGUAUAAUGUUAAGAUACAGUUUGGGACUUUAUCAGAUUAUUUUGAUGCACUGGAUAAAGAAGAUGUAACCAUUAGAAAGAAUAGCCAAUCCAUGUUCCCUGUUCUAAGUGGAGAUUUUUUCACUUAUGCUGACCGAGACGAUCAUUAUUGGAGCGGCUACUUUACAUCCAGACCCUUCUACAAACGAAUGGAUAGGAUAUUGGAAUCCCAUCUAAGGGCUGCUGAAAUUCUUUACUAUUUCACCCUGAAACAAGCUCAGAAAUACAAGAUAAGUAAAUUUCUUUCAUCAUCCCAUUACAUGGCACUGACAGAAGCCAGAAGAAAUUUGGGACUGUUUCAACAUCAUGAUGCUAUCACAGGAACUGCAAAAGAUUGGGUGGUUGUGGAUUAUGGUACCAGACUCUUUCAUUCAUUAACGAAUUUGAAGAAGAUAAUUGGAUAUUCUGCACUACUUCUUAUUUUGAAGGACAAAAACUCGUACAACUCUUACUCUUUUGAUAACCUCCUAGACAUGGAUUUGAAACAAAACUCACACGGUUCUCUACCACAAAAAACUGUAAUAACACUGAGUGCAGAGCCAAGGUAUCUUGUGGUCUGUAAUCCUUCAGAACAAGACCGAAUCUCAGUGGUCUCAGUCUAUGUGAGUUCCCCCACAGCACAAGUGUCUUCUGCUUCCGGAAAGCCUGUGGAAAUUCAGAUGAGUGCAGUUUGGAAUACAGCAACUACUAUUUCACAGACAGCCUAUGAGAUCUCCUUUCUAGUGCAGAUGCCACCACUCGGACUGAAAGUGUAUAGAAUUUUGUAAUCAGCAAGUUCAGACCCACAUUUAGCUGAGUAUGUGCUGCAUAAUGGUAACGUAAAAGAUAAAGGAAUUUUCAACAUGAAGAAUGUAAAAAGUACUGAAGAAGAUAUAACUCUAGAGAACUCCUUUGUUAAACUUCGGUUUGAUCAGUCUGGGCUUUUGGAGGAAAUGAUAAGUAAAGAAGACAGUAAACAUCAUGAAGUAAAAGUGCAAUUUUCAUGGUAUGGAACCACCAGUAAAAAGGACAAAAGUGGUGCCUACCUCUUCUUACCUGAUGGGGAAGCCAAGCCUUAUGUUUACACAACACUGCCCUUUGUCAGAGUGCAACGUGGAAGGUUUUACUCAGACGUGACUUGCUUUUUGGAACAUGUUACCCAUAGGGUCCGACUGUACAACAUCCAAGGUAAGAAAACAAAGCAAUACCUCAGAGUUUUCGCAGGUUGUCCAGGGGAUCUGGAGCUCAUCACAGAGGAUGGUUUCCACAGACAGUCUGUGGAAGUGUCCAAUAUCGUGGACAUCUGAAAAGAACAUAACCGUGAGAUUGCAAUGAGAAUUUCUUCUAGCAUAAACAGUCAAAACAAAUUUUAUACUGACCUGAAUGGAUAUCAGAUUCAGCCCAGAAUGACGAUGAGCAAAUUGCCUCUUCAAGCAAAUGUCUAUCCGAUGACCACAAUGGCCUAUAUACAGAACACCAAGCAUCGCUUGACAUUACUCUCAGCUCAGUCUUUAGGGGUUUCAAGUUUGAAAAGUGGUCAGAUUGAAGUUAUCAUGGAUCGAAGACUCAUGCAAGAUGAUAAUCGCGGCCUUGAGCAAGGUGUCCAUGAUAACAAGGUUACAGCUAAUUUAUUUCGACUACUACUGGAAAAAAGAAGUGUGAAUACGGAAGAAGAAAAGAAGUCAGUCAGUUAUCCUUCUCUCGUUAGCCACAUAACUUCCUCUUUCCUGAAUCAUCCUGUCUUUACAAUGACAGAAAAGAUCCCCGUGCCCACCCUUCAGCUGCUAGGUGAAUUCUCUCCGUUACUGUCAUCUUUGCCUUGUGACAUUCAUCUCGUUAAUCUGAGGACAAUACAGUCAAAGGUGGAUGGCAAGCAUUCCGAUGAGGCAGCCUUGAUCCUCCACAGGAAGGGGUUUGACUGCCGCUUCUCGAGCAGAGACACGGGGCUGCUUUGUUCCACAACCCAGGGAAAGAUUUUGGUACAGAAGCUUUUUAGCAUGUUUACUGUCGCAAGUCUCAUACCUUCAUCAUUAUCCUUGAUGCAUUCACCUCCAGACGCCCGAAAUAUAAGUGAGAUCAACUUGAGUCCCAUGGAAAUCAGCACAUUCCGAAUCCAGUUGAGAUGAACCUGGCUUUCAAAUUUGGAUUGGGAAGCAUUGUCUUUUAUACACUUCUUGGUUUGACGUGCAAUAAGGAAGCACAUUAUUUUAGCUUCUGGCUACUGUGAGGACAUGAAUUCUGUGAUUGUUAUUAUAAUUAUUAUUAUUAUUUUUUUUUACUAGUACAGAAAGAAAAAAAAAAGCCAUGCUAUAGCCAGUUUUUCUUUAAGUUCCAUCCAUGAAUCACCACCAUCAGUAUGAAUCGAUGCAACAAUGAAGGAAGAAA